AUUGAACGCUGGCGGCAGGCCUAACACAUGCAAGUCGAACGGUAACAGGAAGCAGCUUGCUGCUUUGCUGACGAGUGGCGGACGGGUGAGUAAUGUCUGGGAAACUGCCUGAUGGAGGGGGAUAACUACUGGAAACGGUAGCUAAUACCGCAUAACGUCGCAAGACCAAAGAGGGGGACCUUCGGGCCUCUUGCCAUCGGAUGUGCCCAGAUGGGAUUAGCUUGUUGGUGGGGUAACGGCUCACCAAGGCGACGAUCCCUAGCUGGUCUGAGAGGAUGACCAGCCACACUGGAACUGAGACACGCUCCAGACUCCUACGGGAGGCAGCAGUGGGGAAUAUUGCACAAUGGGCGCAAGCCUGAUGCAGCCAUGCCGCGUGUAUGAAGAAGGCCUUCGGGUUGUAAAGUACUUUCAGCGGGGAGGAAGGGAGUAAAGUUAAUACCUUUACUCAUUGACGUUACCCGCAGAAGAAGCACCGGCUAACUCCGUG
rnacentral:rRNA from 1 species